rnacentral:rRNA from 1 species
GGGUUGUGAGGUUAAGUGACUAAGCGUACACGGUGGAUGCCUAGGCAGUCAGAGGCGAUGAAGGGCGUGCUAAUCUGCGAAAAGCGUCGGUAAGGUGAUAUGAACCGUUAUAACCGGCGAUACCCGAAUGGGGAAACCCAGUGUGUUUCGACACACUAUCAUGUCAUGAAUACAUAGUGGCAUGAGGCGAACCGGGGGAACUGAAACAUCUAAGUACCCCGAGGAAAAGAAAUCAACCGAGAUUCCCCCAGUAGCGGCGAGCGAACGGGGAGGAGCCCAGAACCUGAAUCGGCUUGUGUGUUAGUGGAAGCGUCUGGAAAGUCGCGCAGCAAAGGGUGAUAGCCCCGUACACUAAAAUGCACAGGUCGUGAGUUCGAUGAGUAGGGCGGGACACGUGACAUCCUGUCUGAAUAUGGGGGGACCAUCCUCCAAGGCUAAAUACUCCUGACUGACCGAUAGUGAACCAGUACCGUGAGGGAAAGGCGAAAAGAACCCCGGCGAGGGGAGUGAAAUAGAACCUGAAACCGUGUACGUACAAGCAGUGGGAGCACCUUCGUGGUGUGACUGCGUACCUUUUGUAUAAUGGGUCAGCGACUUAUAUUUUGUAGCAAGGUUAACCGUAUAGGGGAGCCGUAGGGAAACCGAGUCUUAACUGGGCGAAUAGUUGCAAGGUAUAGACCCGAAACCCGGUGAUCUAGCCAUGGGCAGGUUGAAGGUUGGGUAACACUAACUGGAGGACCGAACCGACUAAUGUUGAAAAAUUAGCGGAUGACUUGUGGCUGGGGGUGAAAGGCCAAUCAAACCGGGAGAUAGCUGGUUCUCCCCGAAAGCUAUUUAGGUAGCGCCUCGUGAACUCAUCUUCGGGGGUAGAGCACUGUUUCGGCUAGGGGGCCAUCCCGGCUUACCAAACCGAUGCAAACUCCGAAUACCGAAGAAUGUUAUCACGGGAGACACACGGCGGGUGCUAACGUCCGUCGUGAAGAGGGAAACAACCCAGACCGCCAGCUAAGGUCCCAAAGUCAUGGUUAAGUGGGAAACGAUGUGGGAAGGCAUAGACAGCCAGGAUGUUGGCUUAGAAGCAGCCAUCAUUUAAAGAAAGCGUAAUAGCUCACUGGUCGAGUCGGCCUGCGCGGAAGAUGUAACGGGGCUAAACCAUGCACCGAAGCUGCGGCAGCGACGCUUAGGCGUUGUUGGGUAGGGGAGCGUUCUGUAAGCCGUUGAAGGUGGCCUGUGAGGGUUGCUGGAGGUAUCAGAAGUGCGAAUGCUGACAUAAGUAACGAUAAAGCGGGUGAAAAGCCCGCUCGCCGGAAGACCAAGGGUUCCUGUCCAACGUUAAUCGGGGCAGGGUGAGUCGACCCCUAAGGCGAGGCUGAAAAGCGUAGUCGAUGGGAAACAGGUUAAUAUUCCUGUACUUGGUGUUACUGCGAAGGGGGGACGGAGAAGGCUAGGCUAGCCGGGCGACGGUUGUCCCGGUUUAAGCGUGUAGGGGGUGUGACCUGGUAAAUCCGGUUGCAUAUCAACCCUGAGGCGUGAUGACGAUGCACUACGGUGCAGAAGUAGUUGAUGCCCUGCUUCCAGGAAAAUCCUCUAAGCAUCAGGUAACAUUAAAUCGUACCCCAAACCGACACAGGUGGUCAGGUAGAGAAUACCAAGGCGCUUGAGAGAACUCGGGUGAAGGAACUAGGCAAAAUGGUGCCGUAACUUCGGGAGAAGGCACGCUGGCAUGUAGGUGAAGUCCCUUGCGGAUGGAGCUGAAGCCAGUCGAAGAUACCAGCUGGCUGCAACUGUUUAAUAAAAACACAGCACUGUGCAAACACGAAAGUGGACGUAUACGGUGUGACGCCUGCCCGGUGCUGGAAGGUUAAUUGAUGGGGUCAGCCGCAAGGCGAAGCUCUUGAUCGAAGCCCCAGUAAACGGCGGCCGUAACUAUAACGGUCCUAAGGUAGCGAAAUUCCUUGUCGGGUAAGUUCCGACCUGCACGAAUGGCGUAAUGAUGGCCAGGCUGUCUCCACCCGAGACUCAGUGAAAUUGAACUCGCUGUGAAGAUGCAGUGUACCCGCGGCAAGACGGAAAGACCCCGUGAACCUUUACUAUAGCUUGACACUGAACAUUGAGCCUUGAUGUGUAGGAUAGGUGGGAGGCUUUGAAGCGUGGACGCCAGUCUGCGUGGAGCCAUCCUUGAAAUACCACCCUUUAAUGUUUGAUGUUCUAACUCGGCCCCGUAAUCCGGGGUGAGGACAGUGUCUGGUGGGUAGUUUGACUGGGGCGGUCUCCUCCCAAAGAGUAACGGAGGAGCACGAAGGUUAGCUAAUCACGGUCGGACAUCGUGAGGUUAGUGCAAAGGCAUAAGCUAGCUUGACUGCGAGAGUGACGGCUCGAGCAGGUACGAAAGUAGGUCUUAGUGAUCCGGUGGUUCUGAAUGGAAGGGCCAUCGCUCAACGGAUAAAAGGUACUCCGGGGAUAACAGGCUGAUACCGCCCAAGAGUUCAUAUCGACGGCGGUGUUUGGCACCUCGAUGUCGGCUCAUCACAUCCUGGGGCUGAAGUAGGUCCCAAGGGUAUGGCUGUUCGCCAUUUAAAGUGGUACGCGAGCUGGGUUUAGAACGUCGUGAGACAGUUCGGUCCCUAUCUGCCGUGGGCGUUGGAAGAUUGAGAGGGGUUGCUCCUAGUACGAGAGGACCGGAGUGAACGCACCACUGGUGUUCGGGUUGUCAUGCCAAUGGCAUUGCCCGGUAGCUAAGUGCGGAAAAGAUAAGCGCUGAAAGCAUCUAAGCGCGAAACUUGCCUCAAGAUGAGUCUUCCCUGGGCCUUUAAGGUCCCUGAAGGAACGUUUAAGACUAAGACGUUGAUAGGCUGGGUGUGUAAGUGCAGCGAUGCAUUGAGCUAACCAGUACUAAUGAUCCGUGAGGCUUAACCUUACAACACCGAAGGUGUUU